rnacentral:rRNA from 1 species
GACGAACGCUGGCGGCGGGCUUAACACAUGCAAGUCGAACGGAAACGCCCUGCUUUUGUGGGGUGCUCGAGUGGCGAACGGGUGAGUAACACGUGAGUAUCCUGCCCUUGCCUUUGGGCUAACUUCAGGCCACUGGGGCUAAUACCGGAUACGAGCUCCUGCUGCAUGGGGGGGGUUGGAAAGUUUCGGCGGUUGGGGAUGGACUCGCGGCUUUUCAUCUUGUUGGUGGGGUAGUGGCUUACCAAGGCUUUGACGGGUAGCCGGCCUGAGAGGGUGACCGGCCACAUUGGGACUGAGAUACGGCCCAGAGUCGUACGGGAGGCAGCAGUGGGGGAUAUUGCACAAUGGGCGGAAGCCGGAUGCAGCAACGCCGCGUGCGGGAUGACGGCCUGCGGGUUGGAAGCCGCUUUCGGCUGUGACGGAGCGUGAGUGACGGUAAUGGGUAAAGAAGCACCGGCUAACUACGUG